GACGAACGCUGGCGGCAUGCCUAACACAUGCAAGUCGAACGGAGAUUAUUUCGGUAAUCUUAGUGGCGAACGGGUGAGUAACGCGUGGGCAACCUGCCCUCUAGAUGGGGACAACAUCCCGAAAGGGGUGCUAAUACCGAAUGUGACAGCAAUCUCGCAUGAGGAUGCUGUGAAAGAUGGCCUCUAUUUAUAAGCUAUCGCUAGAGGAUGGGCCUGCGUCUGAUUAGCUAGUUGGUGGGGUAACGGCCUACCAAGGCGAUGAUCAGUAGCCGGUCUGAGAGGAUGAACGGCCACAUUGGGACUGAGACACGGCCCAGACUCCUACGGGAGGCAGCAGUGGGGAAUCUUCCGCAAUGGGCGAAAGCCUGACGGAGCAAUGCCGCGUGAGUGAUGAAGGAAUUCGUUCCGUAAAGCUCUUUUGUUUAUGACGAAUGUGCAGAUUGUGAACAAUGAUCUGUAAUGACGGUAGUAAACGAAUAAGCCACGGCUAACUACGUG
rnacentral:rRNA from 1 species